UCCCCGCUGGUGUACGACCCAGGCUUCAAAUC
rnacentral:tRNA from 13 species